rnacentral:RNase_P_RNA from 1 species
GCAACCAAGUGAAAUGAUCGCGGCGAAAGCUGAGGAAAGUCCGGGCUCCACAGGGCAGGAUGCCGGCUAACGGCCGGUGAGGGUGACCUUAAGGAAAGUGCCACAGAAAACAAACCGCCUUUCGAGGUAAGGAUGAAACGGUGCGGUAAGAGCGCACCAGCGGCCGAGUAAUCGGUCGGCUUGGUAAACCCCAUCCGGAGCAAGACUAAACAAUGAGGACACAAUGCGGCCCGCAUGUCCUUUGGUAAGUCGCUGGAGGCAUUAUGUGAGUAAUGUCCAAGACAGAUGAUCAUUCUCGACAGAACCCGGCUUACGGCUUGAUUGCUUUA